rnacentral:misc_RNA from 1 species
CAGACAGAUAGGCCGUUGAAACAAUGGGAGCACAACACCGCAGAUUGCCGAUGCUAGGAAGAGAGAUGACGGGGCUGGUCGAACAAAUGCGGAGAGGAGUGUCGUCCACGUGGAUCAAUACUGAAGAGCGUGCAGGCGCCUCCACCUUUUGCUACGAGCAGUACUCUCGCGCCGCGGACACGCGUCGCACGCUCCUCCACCGCGUCGGUCCUUCGUGCAAAGGUCCGAGGGUUGACACGGGGACGCCGUCGUUGCCCGCCGACGUUGUCCUUCGUCCUCGCCCUGCGGGAGGAUGCGAAUCACCCGUCGAUCGAGAGGAAAGGAUCCUUAGAUCUCGUGCGCGACGUGCCUUACUCGUUUCCCGCUUACUCAAUGCACUUUUCUCUCAUCUUCAUUCCGUGAUACAUCCGGAGAGACACAACACGAGAGACGCUCUUGGAUUUGUUUGCUCGCGUGUGACAAGAUCUACACCGUGGAUGCAGCCGAGAGCUGGCAGUGGUGGGGCCCACGCGGGCGGGACAGGUGACGAUGAGGCCCCGAAAGAUCCGGGGGCGCGGAUCACCCAUCAAUCUUAUACGGAAAAGGAUUAUGAAGGUCACAGGGCGCACACGGUGUACGUGGGCGUGCAUCUGCCGGGGGAGAGGAGACAUCGUCGGCAUAAGCACCAUCAUUCACAACGGCAGUCGUACACCUGCGGUAAAGAAGAUGCCGACAACGAGAGACCAAGACAAUUGUUGAUGGCGCGCAGGCGUCUCGCUAGCAUCUGCGACCCCGCCGGCGAGAUGAUAUUCACACCACCAGCCCAGAGAGUGCAGUUUAUUCUUGGCGAGGAAGUCGGUGACGAUGCGCACGAAUCGCAUCCGCUCUUCUCAGAGAUGGAGGAGCUAGUCAAGGAUGGCGACGAGAUGGAAUGGAAGGAGACGGCGAGAUGGAUCAAGUUUGAGGAAGAUGUCGAGGAAGGUGGCAAUAGGUGGAGUAAACCUCACGUUGCCACAUUAUCACUGCACUCACUUUUCGAGUUGAGGAGUCUUCUUUUAAAUGGAACAGUCAUGCUCGAUAUGGAAGCAGCCAGUUUGGAGCAGAUAGCUGAUCUCGUUCUUGAUAACAUGAUUAAUAAAGGAGUACUGCCGGUUGAAUUGCGAGAAAAGGUGAAAGAAGCCCUUCUCGUGAGACAUCGGCAUCAACAUGAAAGACGUAAAGACAAUAACAUGUCGAAGUUACCGAUCAUAAGAUCGUUAGCUGAGAUAGGACGCAAUCAUUCCUCUUCGAAAAAUUGCGACUGUUCAUGUGGUAUGCAUGCCUUGUUGACGUCAGAUUUGCAGGAACGUCCCAAGGAUGCCUAUGUACCCUCCGUCGCCCGCAGCAGCAGCUGCCCAAACUCGGACACGGCGCCGCUGUCGAAAGAGGCGAAAGACCUUAAAGGGCCGUACCUUCUGGUUCCAGUGGAGGAAUCGAAUUCCGCUCCGGCAAUCGCCGGCGCAACAAGUCAUGGCAGUGGAGCAGCGCUGAAUGUUGGUAGCCGCUUCCUUACGAUACCCGGCAAUCCCGGCCAAGAACCAGGCAGCAAUGGUAUGGACCGAAGUCCCAGCAGCAUAUCCAUCAGCAGGAAUCACAGCUCUUCUGCAUUGGAGAAUGGAGAUGCUAAUCAUAGGGGUAAUACGCACUUUAUGAGAAAGAUACCAGCCGGUGCCGAGGCGAGCAACAUACUCGUGGGUGAAGUCGAUUUCCUCGACAAAACUUUGUCCGCAUUCAUCCGACUAAGUCAGGCUGGGAUAAUGGGUGACCUGACAGAAGUUCCUGUUCCGACAAGAUUCAUCUUUGUUCUUUUAGGACCGAUGGGCGGGAAUUCGGGUUUUCACGAGAUCGGUCGGGCUAUGGCGACCUUGAUGUCCGACGAAGUCUUCCAUGACGUGGCUUACAAAGCGAAAAACAGAAAUCAUCUCUUAGCUGGGAUCGAUGAGUUCCUAGACGCCGUGACGGUAUUACCGCCCGGUGAAUGGGAUCCGGCAAUCCGAAUAGAACCACCAGCUGCUAUACCAUCACAGGAAGUCAGGAAGAGGCCCAAGGAGGAAAAGCCUAAGGAAGACUUCGACGAGGAGGCUGAUGAACAGAAGCUGAGGGAGGAGUCGGGUCUUUCGAGAUCCGGAAAAUUAUUUGGAGGAUUGAUUAAUGACAUUAAAAGGAAAGCUCCGUUUUAUUUAUCUGAUUUCAAAGACGCCCUGGCGCUUCAAUGCGUAGCGUCUUUCAUCUUCUUGUAUUUCGCUUGUUUGUCGCCAAUAAUUACCUUCGGUGGACUGCUCGGUGAGGCUACUGGGAAGCACAUGGCCGCGAUGGAAUCACUAGUCUCCGGUUUCGUUUGUGGCAUAGGAUAUGGGUUCUUUUCCGGCCAACCCCUAACUAUACUCGGUUCUACCGGCCCGGUUUUGGUUUUCGAGACAAUCGUCUAUGAAUUCUGCAAAAAGGUCGACUGGAAUUAUAUGUCUUUUCGCUUCUGGAUCGGCACAUGGAUAGCCUCGAUUCUACUCAUCCUCGUGGCUCUUGACGCGAGUGCUUGCGUCUGUUACAUCACUCGAUUUACAGAGGAGAAUUUUGCAACUCUCAUCGCCUUCAUCUUUAUCUAUAAGGCUAUCGAGAAUGUAUUGUCGAUCGGCAAGAAAUAUCCUUUGAAUACCUAUUCAAGCGAAACAUUGGACUACAAUUGCUGGUGCAAAUCACCAAACAUCAGUCUGCCAUCCAGUUAUGAUAACGUGAAUUGGACGACAUUGGAUAAAACAGCUUGCGAGAAUUACAAUGGUACGAUGGUGGGCGACGGCUGCAACGCACCGCAUUAUGUACCCGAUGUGUUCCUCAUGUCAAUUAUUCUAUUCAUAGGCACGUUCUUAUUGUCAAUCGAGCUCAAGGAUUUCAAGAACGCUUUAUUUUUCCCCUCGAAGGUAAGACAAGUGGUGAGCGACUUCGCAGUAAUAAUCGCAAUAUUCUCUAUGAGCACAUUGGAUCAUUUCGUGGGCAUCCCAACGCCAAAGUUGGAGGUACCGGCAGAGUUCAAACCAACGUUAGAAGAACGAGGAUGGAUAAUUUCGCCUUUUCAGCAAAAUCCAUUGUGGAGUGCUAUUAUCGCAUGCCUCCCCGCUUUAUUGGGCACUAUAUUAAUCUUCAUGGAUCAGCAAAUCACAGCCGUUAUUGUUAAUAGAAAAGAGAACAAAUUAAAGAAAGGAUGCGGAUAUCAUCUGGACCUCUUCAUUCUGGCGAUUCUUAUCCAGAUAUGCUCGGUGAUGGGACUUCCAUGGUUCGUCGCAGCGACGGUCCUCUCCAUAAAUCACGUGAACUCCUUGAAGCUAGAAUCUGAAUGCGCUGCGCCGGGUGAGAAGCCGCAAUUUUUGGGUGUUCGCGAGCAGAGAGUUACUCAUGUAUUGAUUUUCCUGAUGAUCGGAUGCUCGGUGUUCCUAACACCAAUGUUGAGGAAUAUACCGAUGCCGGUGUUGUUCGGUGUCUUCCUGUACAUGGGCGUCGCGUCGUUGAAGGGUCUCCAGUUCUUCGAUAGAAUUCUGAUUAUGCUGAUGCCCGUCAAAUAUCAACCAGAUUACAUGUUCCUUCGGCAGGUGCCAUUAAAGCGCGUACAUAUGUUCACUGUAAUCCAGCUUGCCUGCCUCGCCUGUUUAUGGAUUAUAAAAUCUUUCAGUUCUACUUCUAUCCUAUUUCCCUUAAUGCUCGUGGUAAUGAUUGGCAUCCGUAAAUCCCUGGAUCUGAUGUUUACGCAACGCGAGUUGAAGAUCCUCGACGAUAUAAUGCCGGAAACGAGCAAAAAACACGCCGAGGAGCUUCGGAAACUGGAGAAUGGCGAGGAUCCGACCGAGACGAUGGGAUAUGGACCACCGGGAAAUAUUCAAAUUUCUUUGGCUAAUGGGAAUAUCAUGAAGAUUCCUCUAGCGAGUAUCAAUAUCAGCGAGGAGGUGAAUAAGACCGGUAUCUGGCAACAGGUCAACGAAGGCAACGAAAAAUUAAAGCAAUCAAAAUCACUAAUCAAGAAAACAAAAGAAGCAUCCGAAGAAGGACAUCUCGCUGUUGACCGAUGAGACAACGAGACUGACGACGAUGACCGAAGAAGACGAAGAUGACAGUGGAAUCUCUAUCAAGGUGACAAACGUAGAUUUAAUACGAUCCAAGGAAAGCAUCAAUUCUUUAAAAGCAAAUGGUACUACCUCAGCCGAAACUUCCGUUUAAUAAGAAGACAGCAGAAAUGAAUUAUUAAAUAUAUAUUAGUGCGGCA